ensembl:lncRNA
AAGAGCAGGGAGGAGCUCUCUGUACACUGACCUGUCAUUUCACUUCACUUCCUGCCGUACUGGAGAGAAAACAAUGGUUCAUCAUCAGUGCUCUUUACUAGAACAGAAAGCUCGUCCUGCAGGAGUCUUUAAUUCUCAGUCAGCAGUGAUUUAUUUCACGCAGGGCGUGUGUGCGCGUAGGAACCACUUGUUGAUGGUUUCUGUUUCCGGUCGGACUGUAUCGUGGCGGGACCGGAAACAUGGCGUUCAACUUCGGCGGCGCGUCUAGCAGCGCGAGUCUUUCUGGCACAGGCUUCGGAGCCGCGACCACAACAUCUGCACCCACGGGCUUCGGCUUCGGAUCGGGCGGCACGGGUGCGAGUCUCUUUGGAAACACUCAGAGUAAGGGCUUUGGUUUCUCGUCUGGUCUGGGCUCGAGUGGAGGUCUGGGCGGCGCUGGACUGGGCUUCGGAGGAUUCGGUGGGAUCCAGCCUGCUCAGAACCAACUGGGUGAGUCUGAGAGCGGCUGCUCUCUCUUCAUACACACACUGAUUUCUUCCUCUUGGUUCGAUACAGGAUAUCUAUACUGAUAUUAUGAAUUAUGAGAAUAAUGGGAAUAAAUUAAUUUUCAUUCGGGCCA